rnacentral:lncRNA from 1 species
UUUCUUUUGAUUAAACUUUUUAAGAAAGACAAGGAUUACAUUUAGGAGCACUAUCAAAACUACCAGAUCCUCGAGGCCUCGUGGCCUGCCUCUCAUCUUGCUCCUGGCGACGAACUGGCUCAAUCUUGCGAGUGAUAUAAACAACCUCGAACAUCGCAUUGUCAAACUCAGAACCACGAUCAGAUAUAGUGCUCACAAUGUGAUUUUCCAAUGUCAUUUGAAUCUAUUCCAUAAAUACAACAAACACAUGAAACAUUUCGUCCUUGGUUCGUGGAGGUUCGACUCCUCCUUCUAGCGUUCUUUUUAUUUUGUCCAAAAAACUUAGCUAGAAAUCUGUUACUGUUUAUCUUGAAAUCGAUUUUCGAAAACCGCUUUUCAAUUUUUUCAGUUGAUCUCUAUUUGUUUUUCGUCUACAGAGUCGAUUCCGUUUCUUCUGUCGGAGAAUUGCAAGUACAAAGAAACCCUAGAGACCUUUAUUCUCUGUUCUUGCCAUUGUUUAGGUAACAUUGGUCGUAGUAAUUAUCGCUUGCUACUUGCUGUGCUGUAAAUAAGCGUCAACUCGGAUUAAAUGUGAAUGGAUUGAUGGAGAAAUUGUAACAGUUUAUUUCUGAGAAGGAAAAAAAAUGCAUGGCUGUUGAUGAUCAGUGGUUCAAUUUCAUAUUAUCUGCAUAGAGAGGAAAAAAGAAAUAUCUGUACUUGAGCCGAGGGUCUAUUGUCGGAAAUAGCUCUCUAACUUCGCGAAAGGUCUACGUACACACUGUCCUACUCAUAUCUCACUUGUGGUAAUAUAAUUGUUUUUUUGUGUUGUUGUUGUUGUUAGAGAAGAAAAAGAAUGCAAUUUUAUUAUUAUUUCAGUAGUGCCCAGUCUUAAUUUGAUCUGCUUAAUGUGCAUAUCUGAAUUUCUUUGAGUUUUUAGUUGGCUUUUGGUUAUACAUGAAGGAUGAUGAUACAACACAUGCAUCUAUUUGUGGUUGUUUCAUGUUAUUUUUCUGGACUGAAGUGCAUCACAUAUUUGCAGGUUUUACUUUGGUUGAAUUCAGUUCUAGUAACUACAAUUGGCACAAUAUGAGAACAAUUAAACCAAGACUAUUUGGUUAAAAUAGGUUCUGCGGAAAGCAGUGCCUCUUCCGCUAAGGGGGUUCAAAAAGGAGAAAGG